GAUGAACGCUAGCGGCAGGCCUAAUACAUGCAAGUCGUACGGGAUUGAGGACUUCGGUUUUCAUGAGAGUGGCGCACGGGUGCGUAACACGUAUGCAACCUACCUUUAACCGGGGGAUAGCCUUUCGAAAGAGAGAUUAAUACCGCAUAAAACGGCAGUACCGCAUGGUAUAACUGUUAAAGCUUCGGUGGUUAAAGAUGGGCAUGCGUUGCAUUAGCUAGUUGGUAAGGUAACGGCACCAAGGCUACGAUGCAUAGGGGAUCUGAGAGGAUGAUCCCCCACAUGGUACUGAGACACGGACCAGACUCCGUACGGGAGGCAGCAGUAAGGAAUAUUGGUCAAUGGGCGCAAGCCUGAACCAGCCAUGCCACGUGCAGAA
rnacentral:rRNA from 1 species